GACGAACCGUCCUAACGUUGUUCGGAAUCACUGGGCUUAAAGGGCGCGUAGGCGGGCAACCAAGUCCGGGGUGAAAUCUUUCGGCUUAACCGGAAAAUAGCCUUGGAUACUGGUAGUCUCGAGGGAGGCAGGGGCCGUUGGAACUUCCGGUGGAGCGGUGAAAUGCGUUGAUAUCGGAAGGAACGCCGGUGGCGAAAGCGAACGGCUGGACCUCUUCUGACGCUGAGGCGCGAAAGCCAGGAGAGCAAACGGG
rnacentral:rRNA from 1 species